rnacentral:rRNA from 1 species
GUAGGUGGCAAGCGUUGUCCGGAAUUAUUGGGCGUAAAGCGCGCGCAGGCGGUCCUUUAAGUCUGAUGUGUAAGCCCACGGCUCAACCGUGGAGGGUCAUUGGAAACUGGGGGACUUGAGUACAGAAGAGGAAAGCGGAAUUCCAAGUGUAGCGGUGAAAUGCGUAGAGAUUUGGAGGAACACCAGUGGCGAAGGCGGCUUUCUGGUCUGUAACUGACGCUGAGGCGCGAAAGCGUGGGGAGCAAACAGGAUUAGAUACCCUGGUAGUCCACGCCGUAAACGAUGAGUGCUAAGUGUUAGGGGGUUUCCCGCCCCCCUUAGUGCUGCAGCUAACGCAUUAAGCACUCCGCCUGGGGAGUACGGCCGCAAGGCUG